CAGCAGCCGCGGUAAUACGUAGGGUGCGAGCGUUAAUCGGAAUUACUGGGCGUAAAGCGUGCGCAGGCGGUUGUGUAAGACAGGUGUGAAAUCCCCGGGCUUAACCUGGGAACUGCGCUUGUGACUGCACAGCUAGAGUAUGGCAGAGGGGGGUGGAAUUCCACGUGUAGCGGUGAAAUGCGUAGAGAUGUGGAGGAACACCGAUGGCGAAGGCAGCCCCCUGGGCCAAUACUGACGCUCAUGCACGAAAGCGUGGGGAGCAAACAGGAUUAGAUACCCGAGUAGUCCCUGUCUCUUAUAC
rnacentral:rRNA from 1 species